AAUAGAUACCCUGGUAGUCCACACCGUAAACGUUGGGCGCUAGGUGUGGGGCCUAUUCCAUGGGUUCCGUGCCGCAGCUAACGCAUUAAGCGCCCCGCCUGGGGAGUACGGCCGCAAGGCUAAAACUCAAAGGAAUUGACGGGGGCCCGCACAAGCGGCGGAGCAUGCGGAUUAAUUCGAUGCAACGCGAAGAACCUUACCUGGGUUUGACAUACGCCGGAAAGCGCCAGAGAUGGUGCCCCUUUUGUCGGUGUACAGGUGGUGCAUGGCUGUCGCCAGCUCGUGUCGUGAGAUGUUGGGUUAAGUCCCGCAACGAGCGCAACCCUCGUCCUAUGUUGCCAGCACGUGAUGGUGGGGACUCAUAGGAGACUGCCGGGGUCAACUCGGAGGAAGGUGGGGAUGACGUCAAGUCAUCAUGCCCCUUAUGUCCAGGGCUUCACGCAUGCUACAAUGGCCGGUACAAAGGGCUGCGAUGCUGCAAGGCGGAGCGAAUCCCAAAAAGCCGGUCUCAGUUCGGAUUGGGGUCUGCAACG
rnacentral:rRNA from 1 species